AAUCCACCAUUAAACCAUGAUAAAAUCAUGUCAUUGAGAAGCAAGAGUCAGAAAGGGCAAAUCUUAUUUCUCAUGUAAAGAGGAAGUUUACAUAAAUGUUUAAAAGGAACACUGGCAAUAAAAAUGCCCUUUAAAAGGUCAGAAAGAGGGUGGAAAAUAUUCCUAUAAAACUAAAUAUUGAAUGUUUUUUGGCACACAUACGCUACUCACAUUAUAAGUGGACCUCAGGGAGAAAAAUGAACAUUCUUUGGUAAUUGUGUCAUGUUAUGUUCCUCAAUUGCUCUCAUUCAAUCAGUGAACUAUACAUUCACCAGGAUGUCUUGACUUCAUUUCCACCGCUCUUUCAGAUUCAUCCACAGUCAGUAAGACACAAGGUCUUCUCCGUGAUUAAAGACUACAUUCUGGGCUUGACUACUGUAAUAAAUGGUGCAUGCUGAAAAGCGUGAGGUCAGUAUUUUGUGUAAUUGACAUCCUUACCAGCACUAGCGUUGCCUACGCAGCUUGCAUGCAGCUAAUACAAUCACAUCCCACGAAAUGAAAUUCCUCUCGGGUCACACUGUGUCAGUGUUUCCAGUCCUGUGAAUGCAGAGUCUGUUCCCUCUUCUAAACUUAUGAUAUUAUUUUGGUUACUAUAGCAAUAAACAGUGUGGAGGUACACAACAUGUCUUAAUGUUCAGCUGCCAUGCUGAAAAAGUCAGCUAAGUGGUCCAGGUAGGAUUGUAAGCGUUUGGUGCUGCAGAUGCACUAGCUUCAGUUUAACAGUAAAGCUAGUUGACCAUGUAGUCCUGCUCUUUAUGCUACAUGGUUAAGCAGCCUGGUACAACAUAGAGACAUCAGCACAACAGCAUCCCAGUGUUUCUGAAGUCUUCCUUGAAAUUUUAUACGCAGUUUAGGUUGCACACCAUCAGAGAGGCUCUGGUUGCAUGGAAAUAAAAGAAAGGAAAUUACAUAAUGUUUCCAUAGAGUCUGUUAAAAUACAUAUAACCAUUAAAAUACAUUUAACCGACUUUACCAUUUAAAAGUUUAGGGUUAGUAAGAUUUUUUCAUGUUUUUUAAAAAUAUAUAUAUUUUACGCUCAGCAAAGCUGCAUUUAUUGGUUCAAAAUAUACUAAUAUUGUGAAAUAUUACAAUUUAAAAUAUUUUUUUUUUCUCUCUUAAUAAAUUUGAACAUAUCAUUCCAGUGAUUUUUCUGUCUUGAGUGUCACAUGAUCCUUCAGAAAUCAUUUUAAUAUGCUGAUUUGCUGCGCAGGAAACAGUGAUUAUUAUCAAUGUUGUGCUGCCUAUAUUUUUGUGGAG
ensembl:lncRNA